GAGUUUGAUUCAUGGCUCAGGACGAACGCUGGCGGCGUGCCUAAUACAUGCAAGUAGAACGCUGAAGAGAGGAGCUUGCUCUUCUUGGAUGAGUUGCGAACGGGUGAGUAACGCGUAGGUAACCUGCCUUGUAGCGGGGGAUAACUAUUGGAAACGAUAGCUAAUACCGCAUAACAAUGGAUGACACAUGUCAUUUAUUUGAAAGGGGCAAUUGCUCCACUACAAGAUGGACCUGCGUUGUAUUAGCUAGUAGGUGAGGUAACGGCUCACCUAGGCGACGAUACAUAGCCGACCUGAGAGGGUGAUCGGCCACACUGGGACUGAGACACGGCCCAGACUCCUACGGGAGGCAGCAGUAGGGAAUCUUCGGCAAUGGGGGCAACCCUGACCGAGCAACGCCGCGUGAGUGAAGAAGGUUUUCGGAUCGUAAAGCUCUGUUGUAAGUCAAGAACGAGUGUGAGAGUGGAAAAUUCACACUGUGACGGUAGCUUACCAGAAAGGGACGGCUAACUACGUGCCAGCAGCCGCGGUAAUACGUAGGUCCCGAGCGUUGUCCGGAUUUAUUGGGCGUAAAGCGAGCGCAGGCGGUUUGAUAAGUCUGAAGUUAAAGGCUGUGGCUCAACCAUAGUUCGCUUUGGAAACUGUCAAACUUGAGUGCAGAAGGGGAGAGUGGAAUUCCAUGUGUAGCGGUGAAAUGCGUAGAUAUAUGGAGGAACACCGGUGGCGAAAGCGGCUCUCUGGUCUGUAACUGACGCUGAGGCUCGAAAGCGUGGGGAGCGAACAGGAUUAGAUACCCUGGUAGUCCACGCCGUAAACGAUGAGUGCUAGGUGUUGGAUCCUUUCCGGGAUUCAGUGCCGCAGCUAACGCAUUAAGCACUCCGCCUGGGGAGUACGACCGCAAGGUUGAAACUCAAAGGAAUUGACGGGGGCCCGCACAAGCGGUGGAGCAUGUGGUUUAAUUCGAAGCAACGCGAAGAACCUUACCAGGUCUUGACAUCCCGAUGCUAUUUCUAGAGAUAGAAAGUUACUUCGGUACAUCGGUGACAGGUGGUGCAUGGUUGUCGUCAGCUCGUGUCGUGAGAUGUUGGGUUAAGUCCCGCAACGAGCGCAACCCCUAUUGUUAGUUGCCAUCAUUCAGUUGGGCACUCUAGCGAGACUGCCGGUAAUAAACCGGAGGAAGGUGGGGAUGACGUCAAAUCAUCAUGCCCCUUAUGACCUGGGCUACACACGUGCUACAAUGGUUGGUACAACGAGUUGCGAGUCGGUGACGGCAAGCUAAUCUCUUAAAGCCAAUCUCAGUUCGGAUUGUAGGCUGCAACUCGCCUACAUGAAGUCGGAAUCGCUAGUAAUCGCGGAUCAGCACGCCGCGGUGAAUACGUUCCCGGGCCUUGCACACACCGCCCGUC
rnacentral:rRNA from 1 species